UGAGGAAUAUUGGACAAUGGGCGCAAGCCUGAUCCAGCCAUGCCGCGUGCAGGAAGAAGCAUCUAUGGUGUGUAAACUGCUUUUGUACGGGAAGAAACACUCCUACGUGUAGGAGCUUGACGGUACCGUAAGAAUAAGGAUCGGCUAACUCCGUGCCAGCAGCCGCGGUAGUACGGAGGAUCCAAGCGUUAUCCGGAAUCAUUGGGUUUAAAGGGUCCGUAGGCGGUUUAAUAAGUCAGUGGUGAAAGCCCAUCGCUCAACGAUGGAACGGCCAUUGAUACUGCUAGACUUGAAUUACAAGGAAGUAACUAGAAUAUGUAGUGUAGCGGUGAAAUGCUUAGAUAUUACAUGGAAUACCAAUUGCGAAGGCAGGUUACUACUUGUGGAUUGACGCUGAUGGACGAAAGCGUGGGGAGCGAACA
rnacentral:rRNA from 1 species